rfam:Myotis brandtii contig162356, whole genome shotgun sequence.
GCCAUUUUGGCUCAGUGGAUAGAGCGUCAGCCUGCGGACCAAAGGGUCCCAGGUUCAAUUCCUGGUUAAGGGCA